UGUGCUUCUGUGUGCUUAAUGCAGACAGCAUGGAGCCAGGAAAGGGAGGGGGUGCAUGACUGAGAAUGUUAUUUUACAUCACUGACCAGCCCCCUCCUAUUUUCAAACAGCUGGGGACUACCUGACCUGCAGCUUCCAGGAGAUCCCGUACCUUAGAUCCUGACCAUUAUCAUCUGAUGAUACAUCAUCUAUGUGGAUCUGGUCACAGUCCUGAGAAGUGUAUGGAAAAAAAAUACAGCAUUAGAACAAGACAGAAAGCCUUCAUUCAAGCUGAUGAACUCUUAUCUUUUGCUCUGGUUGAUUUUUCAACAGAAGAAAAAAGGGCUUGGUACAACAGGAUUCCAAAGUCAGAACAACUGCAACUAACCAGGGUAUAGUCAGUCUGUGCCACACAACCUGCCUCCAGGUGGGACCAGACCCCUGUACCUACAUGUGAAGGAGCCUGAGCUAAUGCAGACUUGAAACAGUACUGCAGGCUUGGAGAAAGCCUCUGCUGCCUCCUUGUGAAACACAAGCUGUUCCUGAGGAUGCAUGGAGAAGCGCCUUCUGUUAUUGCUUAUGCUCGCUCUGAAUGCUGUCGAGGUAUGCAUCCAUUCAACCGUGGGCAGAAAGCAGAGGGAGAUGUGAAGCUGCAGGCCACUCUGACUGCUACUAUAAAGGUUAUACUGAAGUGACCGUCUGGGGAAAACAUUAAGACCAAAUGUCUGAUGACUGU